rnacentral:rRNA from 1 species
UGGGGAAUAUUGCACAAUGGGCGCAAGCCUGAUGCAGCCAUGCCGCGUGUAUGAAGAAGGCCUUCGGGUUGUAAAGUACUUUCAGCGAGGAGGAAGGCGUGAAACUUAAUACGUUUCACGAUUGACGUUACUCGCAGAAGAAGCACCGGCUAACUCCGUGCCAGCAGCCGCGGUAAUACGGAGGGUGCAAGCGUUAAUCGGAAUUACUGGGCGUAAAGCGCACGCAGGCGGUUUGUUAAGUCAGAUGUGAAAUCCCCGGGCUCAACCUGGGAACUGCAUUUGAAACUGGCAAGCUUGAGUCUUGUAGAGGGGGGUAGAAUUCCAGGUGUAGCGGUGAAAUGCGUAGAGAUCUGGAGGAAUACCGGUGGCGAAGGCGGCCCCCUGGACAAAGACUGACGCUCAGGUGCGAAAGCGUGGGGAGCAAACA